GAAUUAGUCUUUCCCAUCUUGUGCACGCCACCAGGCAAUAAAUUCGGAUCUUGUUAUUUCUCCCUGGCAUCUCUACCUGCCUGCAAGCCUUUAGCACUUUCCUGGUGAUUCCUGCAGGUACUGCUUUGGAGACAUGAUCGCUCACACAGACACACACAUAUAGACACACUUAUCCUGCACCCAAAUGACAGAGUUACACGGAGCCCAGUCAUGUUUCCUCCCUGCCUUCUGCUGUUGACCGUGGGAGGAUCUCUGCCGCUAAUUAGAGACACUGAAAUCCUGGAAGUAUCAACAACAAAUAGCACUCUGAAGGCACUUGUCCUUUUUUUUUUAAACAUAACAUGUUUAUUUCCCUUGGUUUUUCCUCUUUUUUUUUUUUUCUUUUUUAAAGAAGCCCCUAGUUGAUUCAAGAGCCCUACCUCUACCAUCCAUCUACCUCUACCUCAGGUACAUGUAUAGGCGUGCGGAUGUUUUCCUGCGCUCCUCAGGGGCCCAUUUUUGGCCAGCGAAAAAUGCAGGUAUGCCCGAAAAUAGUGAUAAAUAAAAUCAGGUGCGAUGGGAUUGAGAAGUGAGGAAAGGACGAGGAGGGAGCUGCGGCAGCGGCUGGACAGGAGGACAGAAGCCCCGGCAGCCGACCCCGCUGCCGCCCCGCACCCCUGCCCCCUCCCAGCCUGGCCAGCGCCACUUCCCAGCCCAUGCGACGGGACCUGAGGUCUGGAAAUCCUUUCCUAUCCCUUCAGACGAAUCCUUCCCCACCCCCAAUCCUGUGCAAGUUCCUCAGGGCACGGGGAAGAGCAAUGAACUUUUGCACCUGAUGUCCCCCCGCGGGCUCCCAGCCAUUCCUCAGGCGCGCUCCCGGCUGCUCAGCCGGCAGCGAUCCUGUCCUUCCCCCGGCACGGGGAGAAACCCUGAGCCCUUCCAGCGUCCUCCAGACCCGCUCCGCCUGCAAGGGUUAAACCGGGGAACGGAGCAGUGUCCUUCCUGUUGGAAGCACGCCACCUGAACGCGAAAUCAAAUCUACUCACCGGGUGAAAUUGCAGGAGGAGAAGCGGCUGUGAAUGAAACGCAUCCCAGCUCCAAGCAUAUAGUCCAUGAUCUGCGGCUUCAAGCUAGAGGAAGGCUGAGCAGGGUGGGGGGACUUUGGGAACCAGCAGCGGUUCUGUGUGUGUGACAACCCAUUUACACCGUGCGUGCCUGUCUGUGUGU